GCUUCCUUUGCUGAGUUGUCAGAUACAAGUGAAGCGGUUGAGGAUGACGAUGCGUCCAUGGAUGUCACGUGGGUGCCCGCUCGGCAAGAAGAACAAGGCGAAAGUUCAGAUGGGGAGACAGAGGAGGAGGAGGAGGAGACGAGUUGGAAGCAGGGGGAGGUCAUCGCAAGGAGCUAGUGGCACAGUCAGACAGUAUGCAUCGGCACCCGGGGUCAGCCCGACAGCACGCCAAUCAACGCAUGCUGUGUCCA